GGUUAAGCGACUAAGCGUACACGGUGGAUGCCCUGGCAGUCAGAGGCGAUGAAGGACGUGCUAAUCUGCGAUAAGCGUCGGUAAGGUGAUAUGAACCGUUAUAACCGGCGAUUUCCGAAUGGGGAAACCCAGUGUGUUUCGACACACUAUCAUUAACUGAAUCCAUAGGUUAAUGAGGCGAACCGGGGGAACUGAAACAUCUAAGUACCCCGAGGAAAAGAAAUCAACCGAGAUUCCCCCAGUAGCGGCGAGCGAACGGGGAGCAGCCCAGAGCCUGAAUCAGUGUGUGUGUUAGUGGAAGCGUCUGGAAAGGCGCGCGAUACAGGGUGACAGCCCCGUACACAAAAAUGCACAUGCUGUGAGCUCGAUGAGUAGGGCGGGACACGUGGUAUCCUGUCUGAAUAUGGGGGGACCAUCCUCCAAGGCUAAAUACUCCUGACUGACCGAUAGUGAACCAGUACCGUGAGGGAAAGGCGAAAAGAACCCCGGCGAGGGGAGUGAAAAAGAACCUGAAACCGUGUACGUACAAGCAGUGGGAGCACGCUUAGGCGUGUGACUGCGUACCUUUUGUAUAAUGGGUCAGCGACUUAUAUUCUGUAGCAAGGUUAACCGAAUAGGGGAGCCGAAGGGAAACCGAGUCUUAACUGGGCGUUAAGUUGCAGGGUAUAGACCCGAAACCCGGUGAUCUAGCCAUGGGCAGGUUGAAGGUUGGGUAACACUAACUGGAGGACCGAACCGACUAAUGUUGAAAAAUUAGCGGAUGACUUGUGGCUGGGGGUGAAAGGCCAAUCAAACCGGGAGAUAGCUGGUUCUCCCCGAAAGCUAUUUAGGUAGCGCCUCGUGAAUUCAUCUCCGGGGGUAGAGCACUGUUUCGGCAAGGGGGUCAUCCCGACUUACCAACCCGAUGCAAACUGCGAAUACCGGAGAAUGUUAUCACGGGAGACACACGGCGGGUGCUAACGUCCGUCGUGAAGAGGGAAACAACCCAGACCGCCAGCUAAGGUCCCAAAGUCAUGGUUAAGUGGGAAACGAUGUGGGAAGGCCCAGACAGCCAGGAUGUUGGCUUAGAAGCAGCCAUCAUUUAAAGAAAGCGUAAUAGCUCACUGGUCGAGUCGGCCUGCGCGGAAGAUGUAACGGGGCUAAACCAUGCACCGAAGCUGCGGCAGCGACGCUGAUGCGUUGUUGGGUAGGGGAGCGUUCUGUAAGCCUGCGAAGGUGUGCUGUGAGGCAUGCUGGAGGUAUCAGAAGUGCGAAUGCUGACAUAAGUAACGAUAAAGCGGGUGAAAAGCCCGCUCGCCGGAAGACCAAGGGUUCCUGUCCAACGUUAAUCGGGGCAGGGUGAGUCGACCCCUAAGGCGAGGCCGAAAGGCGUAGUCGAUGGGAAACAGGUUAAUAUUCCUGUACUUGGUGUUACUGCGAAGGGGGGACGGAGAAGGCUAUGUUGGCCGGGCGACGGUUGUCCCGGUUUAAGCGUGUAGGCUGGUUUUCCAGGCAAAUCCGGAAAAUCAAGGCUGAGGCGUGAUGACGAGGCACUACGGUGCUGAAGCAACAAAUGCCCUGCUUCCAGGAAAAGCCUCUAAGCAUCAGGUAACAUCAAAUCGUACCCCAAACCGACACAGGUGGUCAGGUAGAGAAUACCAAGGCGCUUGAGAGAACUCGGGUGAAGGAACUAGGCAAAAUGGUGCCGUAACUUCGGGAGAAGGCACGCUGAUAUGUAGGUGAAGUCCCUCGCGGAUGGAGCUGAAAUCAGUCGAAGAUACCAGCUGGCUGCAACUGUUUAUUAAAAACACAGCACUGUGCAAACACGAAAGUGGACGUAUACGGUGUGACGCCUGCCCGGUGCCGGAAGGUUAAUUGAUGGGGUUAGCGCAAGCGAAGCUCUUGAUCGAAGCCCCGGUAAACGGCGGCCGUAACUAUAACGGUCCUAAGGUAGCGAAAUUCCUUGUCGGGUAAGUUCCGACCUGCACGAAUGGCGUAAUGAUGGCCAGGCUGUCUCCACCCGAGACUCAGUGAAAUUGAACUCGCUGUGAAGAUGCAGUGUACCCGCGGCAAGACGGAAAGACCCCGUGAACCUUUACUAUAGCUUGACACUGAACAUUGAGCCUUGAUGUGUAGGAUAGGUGGGAGGCUUUGAAGUGUGGACGCCAGUCUGCAUGGAGCCGACCUUGAAAUACCACCCUUUAAUGUUUGAUGUUCUAACGUUGACCCGUAAUCCGGGUUGCGGACAGUGUCUGGUGGGUAGUUUGACUGGGGCGGUCUCCUCCUAAAGAGUAACGGAGGAGCACGAAGGUUGGCUAAUCCUGGUCGGACAUCAGGAGGUUAGUGCAAUGGCAUAAGCCAGCUUGACUGCGAGCGUGACGGCGCGAGCAGGUGCGAAAGCAGGUCAUAGUGAUCCGGUGGUUCUGAAUGGAAGGGCCAUCGCUCAACGGAUAAAAGGUACUCCGGGGAUAACAGGCUGAUACCGCCCAAGAGUUCAUAUCGACGGCGGUGUUUGGCACCUCGAUGUCGGCUCAUCACAUCCUGGGGCUGAAGUAGGUCCCAAGGGUAUGGCUGUUCGCCAUUUAAAGUGGUACGCGAGCUGGGUUUAGAACGUCGUGAGACAGUUCGGUCCCUAUCUGCCGUGGGCGCUGGAGAACUGAGGGGGGCUGCUCCUAGUACGAGAGGACCGGAGUGGACGCAUCACUGGUGUUCGGGUUGUCAUGCCAAUGGCACUGCCCGGUAGCUAAAUGCGGAAGAGAUAAGUGCUGAAAGCAUCUAAGCACGAAACUUGCCCCGAGAUGAGUUCUCCCUGACCCUUUAAGGGUCCUGAAGGAACGUUGAAGACGACGACGUUGAUAGGCCGGGUGUGUAAGCGCAGCGAUGCGUUGAGCUAACCGGUACUAAUGAACCGUGAGGCUUAACCUU
rnacentral:rRNA from 1 species